UACGAAGGGGGCUAGCGUUGCUCGGAAUCACUGGGCGUAAAGGGUGCGUAGGCGGGUCUUUAAGUCAGGGGUGAAAUCCUGGAGCUCAACUCCAGAACUGCCUUUGAUACUGAAGAUCUUGAGUUCGGGAGAGGUGAGUGGAACUGCGAGUGUAGAGGUGAAAUUCGUAGAUAUUCGCAAGAACACCAGUGGCAAAGGCGGCUCACUGGCCCGAUACUGACGCUGAGGCACGAAAGCGUGGGGAGCAAACAGG
rnacentral:rRNA from 1 species